AGACCUUGACAGUUGUAACCGAUAGACUGGGCUGGGGCAACGCUGAUGAAAGGCAAAUUCCUGAGAGAAAAAUCACCCAGAUUUUUCAGUGCCUUCUCUAGCUUUCUAGAAGUUGUUAUGAGUGGACCUGACUACCUAGAGAGAGUAAUACAGAAGCUCCGUGCCGAUCACAGCUACCUCAUUACCAUGUUCCUCCAAGAUGGCCGCCCCUGAGGAGAAUCAUCAACUGGGCUUUACGGAAGAGAGAAAUCCAAACGACCAUCAGCAACAAAUGAAAGACUGAAGUUGAAAGGCAAGUCUUCAGAUUUGAAGAAAUCCAUAAUUUUUGAAUGCUGGCCGAGGUCUGUGACCUCUGACUGAAUGGUUUCCAAGCUCCGAAUUCCUAGGUGAUGUUUUCAUUUGUUCACACUUGCUGAAGAAGGGAAAGGCUCUCUGAUUUACGUGUAAGCAAAACAAUCUAAACAGUAGGAUAAAAUCAUGUUGGAAUGGAGUUCUGUGUGGAUGCUCCUUUGAACCAAAUCAGUUCCACAACUGACCCUGUCAGGGACAUAUAAAUUUAGCAUUUUGGUGUGGAUACAGAAGACGAGAUUAACACAGAUCAAGUAACAUGGAAAUAAAAAAGGAGACAAUGCUGGAUGAUACAGGGGCAGCCAACAAGAGGAGAAAACCCAAGCAUUGGCAAAUGCCUCAUUAUCCAAAGAACACUGAGGUGUGGAGCAAAACUGUGUUGAAUGAACUGUAGAUGGAAAUUCUCUCCUUCCCACCGAGGAGCCGCUGCAGGUUGCAGACUCCCAGAAUGCCACACUGAGAAGAGGAGGGCUAAAAUUCUAGAGCAGAAUCCCUGGGGCAGCCCCUGCUGAAGAAGGGUGCAUCUGUUGAGAAUCUCAUCACCGCCCCCACCCCGCCCAGCCUUCAAUUUAGAGGAAUUUCUAGUUCACGCAGAAUGAAGACAAGAUCACAUAAGGGCCUCAGAGUAUGUCAGCUGGGGUCAGACGGGAACAGGAGUCUGGCUCAACACACAUUUAUUGCACUCCUGUUUCAUGCCAAGAAAUGUACCAAAAUCUGGGACUGUGUAACACAGCAAAGGAAAAGACUCAUCUCCAGGAAGCCCCCUUGUCUAGGAAGAGAAAUUGAAUAUCAGCAUAAGGUGGUGAAAAGCUGUGAAGGAGAUGAGUGCCAGGAGUCCAUGGAGGAAGGAUUCUAGCCUGGACAGGUGAGGAAUGGCUUUCUGGAAGAAGCAGAUGCCCCAGCUGAACUUUAAAAUGCCCAUGUGAAAUGAACUGUCUGUAUCUUCAAUCAGCAAAUGGAGUAGGUGGCCACUGUUUAAUUCUGGAAUGGGGAAGUGUAAAGGUGUGGUGUGUGUGUUUACCCCUACUUAGGGAUUCAAAACAGACAGUAAAGAACAAAAGUCUAGCCCUUUGAGCAUUCUCCAUGGGACAUUUGAGGUCUAGCUGGCCCCAGAGAAAGAGAGACAGAAGCAAGGUCAUAUCCAUUUGAGAAAAUCAAAGUGUCUGCUCCAAUUGAGUCUGGUGUCCUUAUUCCUGGAAUAGCCAUCCCUACUGCUCUGGUGCUGAUUUACCUCCGGCAGUUCAGUGCUUCCUGGAAGGUAGGCUGGGCUUUUUAACAAAGUGACUCCUUACUUGACAUGUUUUACCCAAACACAGAGGCCACUGCACUAUGUGCAAGAAACAACAAAAAAUUAAAUGAGACUCAAUGCCUUCCUUAGGGAUCUAAAACCCCAGUAACACAGAUAAACAGGUAAACAAAU
ensembl:lncRNA LINC01206 long intergenic non-protein coding RNA 1206